ACUUGGGAACAGCUCUUCCCGAUAAUGGGUCAGAAGCUUUCCCCAUGGAAACUUCUAGCUCUGCCCCAGUUUCAUCUACAAUGUAGGAACCAUUUUUAUCCCCCAUUUACGCCUGCAGCCACGGGGCACACCGUGCUCGAUUUUCUCUCAUCUGCAGGCUGCACCUGGCCACCUUCCUGCAAUUGGCCCGUGACCCUCUUCAGCAUCUUCUCACAACAGCUGUGACCUUAACAGGACACAGUUCUUGCUCAGGGCCCUCCAGGGAGGAGAGGCUGUGUUGCAGCUAUACCACGCCGCAGGCUUCCUCUUCCCAGAGUUUACACACAGACUGGUUUUUAUUUCCUUAACACGUAGCUCUGUUUACUUGAGCAAUAUUAAUUCAAGUCCACAUGAUCCUCUGAGAUAAUUUAUGAUCAUCAUUCCCAGUGUACAGAUGAUGAAACCAAGACCCAAAAAAGUGAAGUCCCUUGGCCAAAAUGCCAGUUAAGCGGUGUGGUUGGGACCUAAAUGCAAAUCAUGGGUCUGAAGCAGAAGCGCAUGACCACCUGAGCUGCUUCUGCCCUCUGUUGUUGAUGUUAACCUCGGGAGAAGGCUCCCGGGGAGACCUGGAAACACUUCCUGAUAAGUCAGCCCCAGGUCCAGAUGCCAUUUGUCCAGUGUCACUAGUUCUGCAGUGAUAGCGUUGGAACUUCAACUGGAUUCCAAACUCAGGGCUCUUUGCUUUUAGCCUAGAGCUUGCUGAGUGGACUAAUCUGAUUUAACUGAAGUGGAAAUAAAUCCUGCAGGGUGGCAAUGUCACAGAGAUCCUAGCCAGGGCAGCGGAAUGCGUUCUAACCUGGCUUGGAGCCUGGAUACGUAUCUGAC
rnacentral:lncRNA from 1 species